rnacentral:rRNA from 1 species
UACGGAGGGGGCUAGCGUUGUUCGGAAUUACUGGGCGUAAAGCGCACGUAGGCGGCUUUGUAAGUUAGAGGUGAAAGCCCGGGGCUUAACCCCGGAAUUGCACCUCAAACUAUAUGGCUAGAGCAUUGGAGAGGGUAGCGGAAUUCACGGUGUAGCAGUGAAAUUCGUAGAUAUUCGGAAGAACACCAGUGGCGAAGGCGACUUACUGGACACAUAUUGACGCUGAGGUGCGAAAGCGUGGGGAGCAAACAGG